UACGUAGGCAGCAAGCGUUGUUCGGAGUUACUGGGCGUAAAGGGUGUGUAGGCGGUUCUUUUAAGUUUGGUGUGAAAUCUCCCGGCUCAACCGGGAGGGUGCGCCGAAUACUGAGGGACUAGAGUGCGGGAGAGGAAAGUGGAAUUCCUGGUGUAGCGGUGAAAUGCGUAGAUAUCAGGAGGAACACCCGUGGCGAAGGCGGCAUCCUGGACCACGACUGACGCUGAGGAGCGAAAGCCAGGGGAGCAAACGGG
rnacentral:rRNA from 1 species